rnacentral:lncRNA from 1 species
UUCCUGCAGUAAAAUGCAAGACGUGUGAAGGAGAAACUCCUCUUCUCCUUCCUUCUGAUGAGAGUGCUGCCCUGUGAGAACGUGAUAUGGGGUAGAUGGCAGACAUCUUGGAAGAAGGAAAGAAAGGCCAACGGAAGCACAGGGAUUGCAAACCACUGCCCUGAUACCAAAAAGCCUCUGAAUCAACCCUGGAACUGGGAGGUGGAGAGUUAUUUAUUUUUGUAAAUAACUCUUAGCUUUUCCAUAACUCUUAGCUUGUCUAUAACUCACAGAUAAUAGCAUCUUAACUGAUAAUACUGAUAUGAUCUCAAGAGUAUGUUCUAUAAACAAAAGUGUUGCGUAGUCAGCUGAGUUAGAAAAACGUUGUAUAUUAUAUCCAACUCUUUGUAUUUCAUUUUUGCAAAUUAAAGGCUAUGAGAAGACCUGCAGUUAAAAAAUAAAAACUGUUUAGCUUUUUUUAACAUGGUAUUUCCUAAAAUUAAUCAUAUGAUCAUUUUAAAGACUCCUUAAUAUCUUCAAGAUAUUAAGCACUUCACAGUGUCUGUUUUGGAAAAAUUAAUUUAGGCUUCGUGAGAAAAAGAAAGGAGAUCCUAACACCAAGUAUUGGAUACGCCAAUUCCUACACAGCCUCGAUGGGGCACAAAACAGAAAGCGCAGCUUUAUCUUUCUAAAUCAUCUGCUAUUUCCAGGAGGCCAAGGAAAAGGAAUAAAUUUGACAACUAUCCACUUAUAUCCCUGAAUUCUGACAACAGAAUGCACUAAUGAAGGACCCUCGACAUGAUAACACGGCCACAGUCCAGUCAUCCUGGAUAGCAAAUCUGGAAAUGCAUUUUGACUGCUGCACUUAGGACACAUUUUUAUUGUGGCUUGCAGACAGUUACCCUUCAACGAUGUGGUAACUAAACAGAUUUCUAAUUUUCUUCCACUCUCUUUCUAAGAAAGCAAAAUGAGAUUGAGGAAAAUGCAUUUCAUUGAGAUGGACAGGAUGAACCAGUAAUUCAGACUACAGGAAAAAAGCAGUAAGACAGUUCAGAAAAGCUUAAAAAUCUUGAAGUCUGUUCCAUGAAGGAAAGGGUCACAACGAAUGUCGGCACAGGUACUUGGAGGAAAGUGGGUAGAGAGGGCCAUACUGAGAUACUGCAUAAAACAAAUAUGCAUAAAAGAAACAGAAAACCUUGUCUCACUUUCUCGGUUUCAUGCACCUGGAUUCUGUUGUUUAUUUUACCCAAGUACUUCACAAACCUGAUGCCAACAGCAACUGUGAAAUGGAAGCAACUCUACAAAUUAUUGCCAUCAUGAGACUAUCAUUAGGUCUACAUAGCUCAAGCUUCACUUGGAGUUCAAUUGUGUGAUUCAGAAGCACAGCUAGGAUAAGUCAGAGACUGGAAAGGGGAAGAGGAGAGACGUGCAGGAUAUUUUUUUUUAACCAGUGAAACAACUCCCGACUUCCAGGACCAGACAAUAUACUUAAUGCACAAAACCAAUAUAUUUUAUGGCCUAAAUGAAAAAAAGUAAAGUGGAAGGUCGGGCGCUGUUCCUUUAAGAUGCUUCCAGAAUCAAAUACCACUCUUGAAAGGGCUGCCAAACAAUGUAUCCAGGUAAAGAAUGAAAAAAAUAUAUUCAGAGGAAAGGCAGGAGGAUGUGUGGAAAGCUCAGUGAGAUUAUGGAAGUGCAGUAAUUGAAUAUGACACAAGAGUCAAGUGCAAGAGGGAACUGGCUGGAGUGCAGUGGCGCAAUCUCAGCUCACUGAAACCUCCACCUCCCAGGUUCAAGUGAUUCUCCUGCCUCAGCCUCCCGAGUACCUGGGAUUCCAG